rnacentral:rRNA from 1 species
GUACACAAAAAUGCACAUGCUGUGAGCUCGAUGAGUAGGGCGGGACACGUGGUAUCCUGUCUGAAUAUGGGGGGACCAUCCUCCAAGGCUAAAUACUCCUGACUGACCGAUAGUGAACCAGUACCGUGAGGGAAAGGCGAAAAGAACCCCGGCGAGGGGAGUGAAAAAGAACCUGAAACCGUGUACGUACAAGCAGUGGGAGCACAGAGCAAUCUGUGUGACUGCGUACCUUUUGUAUAAUGGGUCAGCGACUUAUAUUCUGUAGCAAGGUUAACCGAAUAGGGGAGCCGAAGGGAAACCGAGUCUUAACUGGGCGUUAAGUUGCAGGGUAUAGACCCGAAACCCGGUGAUCUAGCCAUGGGCAGGUUGAAGGUUGGGUAACACUAACUGGAGGACCGAACCGACUAAUGUUGAAAAAUUAGCGGAUGACUUGUGGCUGGGGGUGAAAGGCCAAUCAAACCGGGAGAUAGCUGGUUCUCCCCGAAAGCUAUUUAGGUAGCGCCUCGUGAAUUCAUCUCCGGGGGUAGAGCACUGUUUCGGCAAGGGGGUCAUCCCGACUUACCAACCCGAUGCAAACUGCGAAUACCGGAGAAUGUUAUCACGGGAGACACACGGCGGGUGCUAACGUCCGUCGUGAAGAGGGAAACAACCCAGACCGCCAGCUAAGGUCCCAAAGUCAUGGUUAAGUGGGAAACGAUGUGGGAAGGCCCAGACAGCCAGGAUGUUGGCUUAGAAGCAGCCAUCAUUUAAAGAAAGCGUAAUAGCUCACUGGUCGAGUCGGCCUGCGCGGAAGAUGUAACGGGGCUAAACCAUGCACCGAAGCUGCGGCAGCGACGCUGAUGCGUUGUUGGGUAGGGGAGCGUUCUGUAAGCCUGUGAAGGUGUGCUGUGAGGUAUGCUGGAGGUAUCAGAAGUGCGAAUGCUGACAUAAGUAACGAUAAAGCGGGUGAAAAGCCCGCUCGCCGGAAGACCAAGGGUUCCUGUCCAACGUUAAUCGGGGCAGGGUGAGUCGACCCCUAAGGCGAGGCCGAAAGGCGUAGUCGAUGGGAAACAGGUUAAUAUUCCUGUACUUGGUGUUACUGCGAAGGGGGGACGGAGAAGGCUAUGUUGGCCGGGCGACGGUUGUCCCGGUUUAAGCGUGUAGGCUGGUUUUCCAGGCAAAUCCGGAAAAUCAAGGCUGAGGCGUGAUGACGAGGCACUACGGUGCUGAAGCAACAAAUGCCCUGCUUCCAGGAAAAGCCUCUAAGCAUCAGGUAACAUCAAAUCGUACCCCAAACCGACACAGGUGGUCAGGUAGAGAAUACCAAGGCGCUUGAGAGAACUCGGGUGAAGGAACUAGGCAAAAUGGUGCCGUAACUUCGGGAGAAGGCACGCUGAUAUGUAGGUGAAGUCCCUCGCGGAUGGAGCUGAAAUCAGUCGAAGAUACCAGCUGGCUGCAACUGUUUAUUAAAAACACAGCACUGUGCAAACACGAAAGUGGACGUAUACGGUGUGACGCCUGCCCGGUGCCGGAAGGUUAAUUGAUGGGGUCAGCGCAAGCGAAGCUCUUGAUCGAAGCCCCGGUAAACGGCGGCCGUAACUAUAACGGUCCUAAGGUAGCGAAAUUCCUUGUCGGGUAAGUUCCGACCUGCACGAAUGGCGUAAUGAUGGCCAGGCUGUCUCCACCCGAGACUCAGUGAAAUUGAACUCGCUGUGAAGAUGCAGUGUACCCGCGGCAAGACGGAAAGACCCCGUGAACCUUUACUAUAGCUUGACACUGAACAUUGAGCCUUGAUGUGUAGGAUAGGUGGGAGGCUUUGAAGUGUGGACGCCAGUCUGCAUGGAGCCGACCUUGAAAUACCACCCUUUAAUGUUUGAUGUUCUAACGUUGACCCGUGAUCCGGGUUGCGGACAGUGUCUGGUGGGUAGUUUGACUGGGGCGGUCUCCUCCUAAAGAGUAACGGAGGAGCACGAAGGUUGGCUAAUCCUGGUCGGACAUCAGGAGGUUAGUGCAAUGGCAUAAGCCAGCUUGACUGCGAGCGUGACGGCGCGAGCAGGUGCGAAAGCAGGUCAUAGUGAUCCGGUGGUUCUGAAUGGAAGGGCCAUCGCUCAACGGAUAAAAGGUACUCCGGGGAUAACAGGCUGAUACCGCCCAAGAGUUCAUAUCGACGGCGGUGUUUGGCACCUCGAUGUCGGCUCAUCACAUCCUGGGGCUGAAGUAGGUCCCAAGGGUAUGGCUGUUCGCCAUUUAAAGUGGUACGCGAGCUGGGUUUAGAACGUCGUGAGACAGUUCGGUCCCUAUCUGCCGUGGGCGCUGGAGAACUGAGGGGGGCUGCUCCUAGUACGAGAGGACCGGAGUGGACGCAUCACUGGUGUUCGGGUUGUCAUGCCAAUGGCACUGCCCGGUAGCUAAAUGCGGAAGAGAUAAGUGCUGAAAGCAUCUAAGCACGAAACUUGCCCCGAGAUGAGUUCUCCCUGACCCUUUAAGGGUCCUGAAGGAACGUUGAAGACGACGACGUUGAUAGGCCG